rfam:Streptococcus pneumoniae 2070335 gspj15.contig.9, whole genome shotgun sequence.
GCGUUCUUCAAGCGAGCUUGGGAUAGUGGGAGCCAAGUAGGGCAAAAUAAUGAGCUGGCGCUUUCUGUAGUAUUUUCAAAAACAAUGAAGUAAUAAAUUAGGGUGGAACCGCGUUUCUGACG